UACGGAGGGUGCUAGCGUUGUUCGGAAUUACUGGGCGUACAGCGUACGUAGGCGGCUUUUUAAGUCAGAGGUGAAAGCCCGGGGCUCAACCCCGGAAUUGCCUUUAAGACUGCAUCGCUUGAAUCGCGGAGAGGUGAGUGGAAUUCCGAGUGUAGAGGUGAAAUUCGUAGAUAUUCGGAGGAACACCAGUGGCGAAGGCGGCUCACUGGACGCGUAUUGACGCUGAGGUGCGAAAGCGUGGGGAGCAAACAGG
rnacentral:rRNA from 1 species